rnacentral:rRNA from 1 species
AUUGAACGCUGGCGGCAGGCUUAACACAUGCAAGUCGAGCGGGGUGAUGGUGCUUGCACUAUCACUUAGCGGCGGACGGGUGAGUAAUGCUUAGGAAUCUGCCUAUUAGUGGGGGACAACAUCUCGAAAGGGAUGCUAAUACCGCAUACGUCCUACGGGAGAAAGCAGGGGAUCACUUGUGACCUUGCGCUAAUAGAUGAGCCUAAGUCGGAUUAGCUAGUUGGUGGGGUAAAGGCCUACCAAGGCGACGAUCUGUAGCGGGUCUGAGAGGAUGAUCCGCCAAACUGGGGCUGGGACACGGCCCAGACUCCUACGGGAGGCAGCAGUGGGGAAUUUUGGAAAAGGGGGGGAACCCUGAUCCAGCCAUGCCGCGUGUGUGAAGAAGGCCUUAUGGUUUUAAAGCACUUUAAGCGAGGAGGAGGCUCUUUUGGUUAAUACCCAGAAUGAGUGGACGUUACUCGCAGAAUAAGCACCGGCUAACUCUGUGCCAGCCGCCGCCGUAA